UCUUGAUUUUUUUUACGAUUUAAGAAAUUAAAAAAAACGAGAUCCUCAUCACUGGAGAUAGCAACGAUAAUAACGAGAACGACGAGAAGAGUGAUGGAUCGUGGAGAUAUUAAGGUUUGAAACUUUCUAAUUUAUUACCACAAACAGCGACCGUGGCUUCUAUGGUGGAUGGUGGCGGUGGGUAUGAGAAGAUUGUGGCAACCUGUUUGGUGGAAAAAAAAGAUGUUGCGGUGAGACAAGAGCUCACAGGAAGGUUGGUUUUGCAAGUGAUUGCUUUAAAGUGUGAGCUUAAGCAAGGGGGAUGGAAAGGUUGGUUAGAUGCCAAGCUCAUAUAAUCCAAAAGCGCCAAGGCAUGGUCAAAAAAAUAAGUCUGUAAUUUUGUAGUGUUUUGGUGAGUUAAUAUAUUGAGGAAAUUUGCAUAAGCAGUUAGAAAAUUAAACAAGAUAUCUGUAAAUUUUUUAUUUGUAUAUGUCACUUUUUUUAAUGCGUUGGCAGGUUUUCUUGGUGAUAUGAUCGGUGGCUUUGGGGUGGUUGAUUUUAUUAAUAUGAUUAGUGAUUUUAUUUUAUAAUUUAUGAUUGUAAUGAUUUUGUUCUCGGUUUACCAAUGGUUUACUUGUGAUUGUCUAAUAUAUGGAUUUUCAGUUUUAGUUGUU